UUUUCUGUGUGUGAGUGUGCGUGUGUGUGGGUAUAUGGGUUUUACAAGGAAUGUUGCAUCAGACUGGCACUUAGAAUCCAGGGUCAUAUAUAUAUAUAUAAAAUGGGGCCCAAUUAAAAGAAAAAUCUUUUCCUUAUGCUUUUAGGCUGAACAACUUUUUAAAGCAACAAUGAGUUACCUCCUUGGAGGGGGCAUGAAGCAGGUAAGGACAUUGCCUAGUAUUGGCCCCUCACUGAAGCAGUUUUCAAAACAGUCUUGUCUCCUGAAAACUCCUCCUAGCCCCACCACAUGCUUUGGUCAGGAAAGGUGGAGUUUCCCUUCUGAGAUCUCUAUACAAAUUGCCAUUCUUUCACUAAAUGCAACAGCAUGCUUGCCAAGGAAUUCACAGUUGGCUCAUCACUCUAAAAGAAUAAAGACUGUGGCUUUGAGGCCACCGUCAGUCUGGAAGUUGAUCUGAAAUAUGCCAUGAAAAAAUUUACUUGUUAUGAGUUCCCUUCAUUCUCUUUCUCUCACAGGAGGACAAUGCAAUAAUUGAAAUUUCCCUAAAGCUGGCCAGUAUCUAUGCUGCGCAGAACAGACAGGAAUUUGCUGUUGCUGGCUAUGAAUUCUGCAUUUCAACUCUAGAGGAAAAAAUUGAAAGAGAAAAGGAAUUAGCAGAAGACAUUAUGUCAGGUAGGAAACCCAUUAUCUGGGCAUUGCCUUUUCUCCACAAAAGGCUUUACUUUACACUUUUGAGAAAUGGAAAGAGAUCUAAAUUGGGAAGAGGGAAAGUUACCUAUUUUGCAAAAUAAGUGUCUGUCUUUAAGGUAUCAGCAGAAGUUUUGGAAUAAGAUGUUUUAUUUAAAAUAUUUGACUGCUGUUUUGGUGGUGGUUUUUUUUUUAACCCCCUUGGUAACAUGGUCAUAAUUUAUUUGUUAACUUUUAGUUACAUAUAACUUAAGGAAAAUUGGGGAGCAGAAGGAGAAGGUGUUUCUCGUAUCUCUUAGUUCAGCUACCAAUCAAAAUGCUUAUUACGUUUUAGCCCUAGAUAUACAGCAAAUU
rnacentral:lncRNA from 10 species